ACGAACGCUGGCGGCCUGCCUCACACAUGCCAGUCGAACGAAGUCUUCGGACUUAGUGGCGCACGGGUGCGUAACGCGUGGGAAUCUGCCCUUGGGUACGGAAUAACUCAGAGAAAUUUGUGCUAAUACCGUAUAAUGUCUUCGGACCAAAGAUUUAUCGCCCAAGGAUGAGCCCGCGUAAGAUUAGCUAGUUGGUGGGGUAAAAGCCUACCAAGGCGACGAUCUUUAGCUGGUCUGAGAGGAUGAUCAGCCACACUGGGACUGAGACACGGCCCAGACUCCUACGGGAGGCAGCAGUGGGGAAUAUUGGACAAUGGGCGAAAGCCUGAUCCAGCAAUGCCGCGUGAGUGAUGAAGGCCCUAGGGUUGUAAAGCUCUUUUACCAGGGAUGAUAAUGACAGUACCUGGAGAAUAAGCUCCGGCUAACUCCGUG
rnacentral:rRNA from 1 species